rnacentral:rRNA from 1 species
UACAGAGGGGGCAAGCGUUGCUCGGAAUUACUGGGCGUAAAGGGCGCGUAGGCGGCCUGUUAUGUCGAACGUGAAAUCCCCGGGCUCAACCCGGGAACUGCGUCCGAUACUGGCAGGCUUGAAUUCGGGAGAGGGAUGCGGAAUUCCAGGUGUAGCGGUGAAAUGCGUAGAUAUCUGGAGGAACACCGGUGGCGAAGGCGGCAUCCUGGACCGAGAUUGACGCUGACGAGCGAAAGCCAGGGGAGCAAACGGG